CUGCACGUUCAAACUAAAACAAUGUAACUAAUAAUGGCAUCUUAUGCUUUCGUUAAUAAAAUUUGUUUCCUAAGAGCCCAAUCCGAAAGUAACUUUCUGAUAUCAUCCUCCUCGUCUGUACUUUUAUCAAUGCUCAACCUCUGUGCCCUCAGUGAAGCUCUCGUUAACCCCACCCUCACUACCACUUAGUGUUCAAACAUCAGCUGGCUAAACCCUACUAUUUGACUCCUGCAUUGGAAGAGCCACUUGCACAAAAUUGCUUAUAACAAUCAUGCCUCUCUUCCCUUUCCACAGAUCAUGACUUUAGUUUUUACAAAUCUUGAGCAACUCCCCUCUGAAUAUUUCUACGUUUACUCCAGUAACUGGACAUUUUACCUGGAAACUUUCGGUAUGAUACCAUCAACGCUGGAAUGUUUAACAUCACUUUAAGUCAACAACAAAACAAUGCAAGACUGGUUAUCUAAGAAGGGCAACAACAGGAAAGUUAAAUGUAAAUUAAUCUCCAUGGUAUGUUUCUUUGUGUGUGUGUCUAAGGAUGGUGGAAAUGUUUUACUAUGCAUGCAGAUACUACACUGAAUAUAUAACGCCAAUACUAGACUGAUGUAGUCCUAUGUUUCCUCAGCUGUGUGGAGCAAAACAUUUUAUCUUUGACAUGAGGUGGCUGAUCGCAGAACAGUGUUAAAAAUAUUUACAGUUAAUUCUAUUGGUGCGUAAACUGGUGAAAUGGCGAUUAUGAUUGGUGCUCAUUUUUGUUGACCACAUUACCUUUUACUCAGUAUUUAAAUGUCUCAGCUCUGAAUUAAAGCGACACCAAAGAGCUAUGCUACAAUAUUAUCAACGUGAUGAGGAUGCCUCUGUGCAGCUGGAUGAGAGGUAACAUCAACUCACCUUGGCUUUCUACUGGGACAACAGAGACGCCGACUGGGUUUUUAGAGACAGAUGCGCAAGCAAGGUGAUCCAGAUGAUGAGCUGUUCUCUCCAGAGGAUUCCACAGGACAACGUUUAUAUGUGGUACCACACAUCAGGUGUCGUCCAUCUUCCCCAGUGUAUUCAUACCUGUGUUCUCUGUUUCCAGUUUGUUUUGUCCGUCAAGCCUACCAGCGGUUUUCCCCUUGCGCCUGUCUUUUUCUAUAGUUCCUGUUUUCCUGGUUUUGACCAUUCUGCUUGCCCUGACCCUGAGCCUGCCUGGUGUUCUGUACCUUGUCACGCCACCCUGGACUGAAACUACCUGCCGUUCUGUACCUUUUGCAGGAAUGCAAUCUGGUGAGGGCCAAAAAGGUGACACUUUUGUUUUAUUGCACUGAAACAUGCAACAACAAAAAAUCAUUGCAAGGGAGAAGUGCAGGUUUUAACUAAUUAAACAACAAAGAAUAUGAUCUACAUGAUCAGUCUCUGUGUGUAAAAUGAAAAAUGGUUAAUGUGAACUAACUCACAGCUAAAAAAUGUAAAGAAAGCAAUCCAAUGUUAUUUGUUACCUAGACUACUGCAAAUGAGUCUUGAGAAAAAAACAAUACUAAUAUUGUAGUUAGCCAUGCCAUGACAGCCUUUAUAAUAGAACGCUUGUGACCACACACAUCUAAAUAUUGCACUUGGGGGGGAAAAAACAUCUUAAAAUAGAAAGAAACAAACAGGCUCUAUUAUAGUGGCCACAAGGCUACAUGUGUGCAAAAAUAAUGUUCACUGAGUAAAAAAAAAUAUA